GAUGAACGCUGGCGGCGUGCCUAAUACAUGCAAGUCGAGCGAACAGAUAAGGAGCUUGCUCCUUUGACGUUAGCGGCGGACGGGUGAGUAACACGUGGGUAACCUACCUAUAAGACUGGCAUAACUCCGGGAAACCGGGGCUAAUGCCGGAUAACAUUUAGAACCGCAUGGUUCUAAAGUGACAGAUGGUUUUGCUAUCACUUAUAGAUGGACCCGCGCCGUAUUAGCUAGUUGGUAAGGUACCGGCUUACCAAGGCAACGAUACGUAGCCGACCUGAGAGGGUGUUCGGCCACCCUGGAACUGAGACACGGUCCACACUCCUACGGGAGGCAGCAGUAGGGAAUCUUCCGCAAUGGGCGAAAGCCUGACGGAGCGACGCCGCGUGAGUGAUGAAGGUCUUCGGAUCGUAAAACUCUGUUAUUAGGGAAGAACAAAUGUGUAAGUAACUGUGCACGUCUUGACGGUACCUAAUCAGAAAGCCACGUCUAACUACGUG
rnacentral:rRNA from 1 species